rnacentral:rRNA from 1 species
UACGUAGGGUGCGAGCGUUAAUCGGAAUUACUGGGCGUAAAGCGUGCGCAGGCGGUUCGUUAAGUCAGAUGUGAAAGCCCCGGGCUCAACCUGGGAACUGCAUUUGAAACUGGCGGGCUUGAGUAUGGCAGAGGGGGUGGAAUUCCGCGUGUAGCAGUGAAAUGCGUAGAGAUGCGGAGGAACACCGAUGGCGAAGGCAGCCCCCUGGGCCAAUACUGACGCUCAGGCACGAAAGCGUGGAGAGCAAACAGG